rnacentral:rRNA from 1 species
GUUAGGUGGCAAGCGUUGUCCCGGAAUUAUUGGGCGUAAAAGCGCGCGCAGGGCGGUCCUUUAAGUCUGAUGUGAAAGCCCACGGCUCAACCGUGGAGGGUCAUUGGAAACUGGGGGACUUGAGUACAGAAGAGGAAAGCGGAAUUCCAAGUGUAGCGGUGAAAUGCGUAGAGAUUUGGAGGAACACCAGUGGCGAAGGCGGCUUUCUGGUCUGUAACUGACGCUGAGGCGCGAAAGCGUGGGGAGCAAACAGGAUUAGAUACCCUGGUAGUCCACGCCGUAAACGAUGAGUGCUAAGUGUUAGGGGGUUUCCGCCCCUUAGUGCUGCAGCUAACGCAUUAAGCACUCCGCCUGGGGAGUACGGCCGCAAGGCUG